rnacentral:tRNA from 5 species
GCGGGAGCCAUAGGGGUUGGCCAGUAGCCGACUGAUCAUCGGCGACGAUCACUGGACAGGUUCGAAUCCUGUUCUCCCGCUCCA